CCAUAUACGACCGUACCGCAAACCGACACUGGUGCGCGAGAUGAGUAUUCUAAGGCGCUUGAGAGAACUCAGGAGAAGGAACUCGGCAAAUUGACACCGUAACUUCGGAAGAAGGUGUGCCCUAUUAGUGUGUAGUGAACAACGAAGCAUGAAUGGGUUGCAAAAAAUCGGUGGCUGCGACUGUUUAUUAAAAACACAGCACUCUGCAAACACGAAAGUGGACGUAUAGGGUGUGACGCCUGCCCGGUGCUGGAAGAUUAAAUGAUGGGGUGCAAGCUCUUGAUUGAAGUCCCAGUAAACGGCGGCCGUAACAAUAACGGUCCUAAGGUAGCGAAAUUCCUUGUCGGGUAAGUUCCGACCUGCACGAAUGGCGUAACGAUGGCCACACUGUCUCCUCCUGAGACUCAGCGAAGUUGAAAUGUUUGUGAUGAUGCAAUCUCCCCGCGGAAAGACGGAAAGACCCCAUGAACCUUUACUGUAGCUUUGUAUUGGACUUUGAACAGAUCUGUGUAGGAUAGGUGGGAGGCUUUGAAGCAGGGUCGCUAGAUCUUGUGGAGCCAACGUUGAAAUACCACCCUGGUGUGUUUGAGGUUCUAACCUAGGUCCAUUAUCUGGAUCGGGGACAGUGCAUGGUAGGCAGUUUGACUGGGGCGGUCUCCUCCCAAAGCGUAACGGAGGAGUUCGAAGGUACGCUAGUUACGGUCGGACAUCGUGACGAUAGUGCAAUGGCAUAAGCGUGCUUAACUGCGAGACUGACAAGUCGAGCAGAUGCGAAAGCAGGACAUAGUGAUCCGGUGGUUCUGUAUGGAAGGGCCAUCGCUCAACGGAUAAAAGGUACUCUGGGGAUAACAGGCUGAUACCGCCCAAGAGUUCAUAUCGACGGCGGUGUUUGGCACCUCGAUGUCGGCUCAUCUCAUCCUGGGGCUGUAGCCGGUCCCAAGGGUAUGGCUGUUCGCCAUUUAAAGAGGUACGUGAGCUGGGUUUAAAACGUCGUGAGACAGUUUGGUCCCUAUCUUCCGUGGGCGCUGCAGAUUUGAGGAAGCCUGCUCCUAGUACGAGAGGACCGGAGUGGACACACCUCUGGUGUAUCGGUUGUCACGCCAGUGGCAUUGCCGAGUAGCUAAGUGUGGAAGAGAUAACCGCUGAAAGCAUCUAAGCGGGAAACUCGUUUCAAGAUGAGAUCUGCCGGGGCCUUGAGCCCCCUAAAGAGUCGUUCAAGACCAGGACGUUGAUAGGUCAGGUGUGGAAGCCA
rnacentral:rRNA from 1 species